rnacentral:rRNA from 1 species
UGAGGAAUAUUGGUCAAUGGGCGGGAGCCUGAACCAGCCAAGUCGCGUGAGGGAAGGCGGCCCUAUGGGUUGUAAACCUCUUUUGCCGGGGAGCAAAAGCGCCGCACGUGUGCGGCUUGGAGAGUACCCGGAGAAUAAGCACCGGCUAACUACGUGCCAGCAGCCGCGGUAAUACGUAGGGUGCAAGCGUUAAUCGGAAUUACUGGGCGUAAAGCGUGCGCAGGCGGCUUGAUAAGACAGGUGUGAAAUCCCCGAGUCAACUUGGGAAUAGCACUUGUGACUGUCAGGCUAGAGUAUGUCAGAGGGAGGUGGAAUUCCAAGUGUAGCAGUGAAAUGCGUAGAUAUUUGGGAAGAACACCGAUGGCGAAGGCAGCCUCCUGGGAUAAUACUGACGCUCAUGCACGAAAGCGUGGGGAGCAAACAGGAUUAGAUACC